UGAGGAAUAUUGGACAAUGGGCGCAAGCCUGAUCCAGCAAUGCCGCGUGCAGGAUGAAGGCCUUCGGGUUGUAAACUGCUUUUGUACGGAGCGAAAAGGUCUGCCCUAAUACGGUGGGCUCAUGACGGUACCGUAAGAAUAAGCACCGGCUAACUACGUGCCAGCAGCCGCGGUAAUACGUAGGGUGCGAGCGUUAAUUGGAAUUACUGGGCGUAAAGCGUGCGCAGGCGGUUAUAUAAGACAGAUGUGAAAUCCCCGGGCUCAACCUGGGACCUGCAUUUGUGACUGUAUAGCUAGAGUACGGUAGAGGGGGAUGGAAUUCCGCGUGUAGCAGUGAAAUGCGUAGAUAUGCGGAGAAACACCGAUGGCGAAGGCAAUCCCCUGGACCUGUACUGACGCUCAUGCACGAAAGCGUGGGGAGCAAACA
rnacentral:rRNA from 1 species